rnacentral:rRNA from 1 species
AUCGAACGCUGGCGGCAUGCCUAACACAUGCAAGUCGAACGAGUGGCGGACGGGUGAGCAAUUUCUUGGAAACUGCCUGAUGUAGGGGGAUAACUACUGGAAACGGUAGCUAAUACCGCAUACCAUCGGAUCGGCCCAGAUGGGAGUAGCUAGGAGGUGGGGUAACGGCGCACCAAGGCGACGAUCCCUAGCUGGUCUGAGAGGAUGACCAGCCACACUGGAACGGAGACACGGUCCAGACUCCUACGGGAGGCAGCAGUGGGGAAUAUUGGACAAUGGGCGAAAGCCUGAUCGAGCAAUGCCGCGUGUAUGAAGAAGGCCUUCGGGUUGUAAAGUACUUUCGGCGGGGAGGCGGUACCCAAAGAAGAAGCCACGGCUAACUCCGUGCCAGCAGCCGCGGUAAUAC